AGCAGCCGCGGUAAUUCCAGCUCCAAUAGCGUAUAUUAAAGUUGUUGCAGUUAAAAAGCUCGUAGUUGAAUUUCGGGAUUAGUACGCUGGUCGUGCCUUCGGUACGUACUGGUGUUACUGAUUCCUACCUUCUGACGAACCGUCAUGUCAUUAAUUUGAUGUGGCGGGGAAUCAGGACUGUUACUUUGAAAAAUUAGAGUGUUUAAAGCAGGCUCGCGCUUGAAUACAUUAGCAUGGAAUAAUGAAAUAGGACGUUCGAUCCUAUUUUGUUGGUUUCUAGGAUUGACGUAAUGAUUAAUAGGGAUAGUUGGGGGCAUUAGUAUUCAAUUGUCAGAGGUGAAAUUCUUGGAUUUAUUGAAGACUAACUACUGCGAAAGCAUUUGCCAAGGAUGUUUUCAUUAAUCAAGACGAAAGUUAGGGGAUCGAAGACGAUCAGAUACCGUCGUAGUC
rnacentral:rRNA from 1 species